UACGUAGGGGGCAAGCGUUGUCCGGAAUCAUUGGGCGUAAAGCGCGUGUAGGCGGCCAGAAAAGUCCGCUGUGAAAACUCGAGGCUCAACUUCGAGCUGUCGGUGGAAACUUUCUGCCUAGAGUCCGGAAGAGGAGAAUGGAAUUCCUGGUGUAGCGGUGAAAUGCGCAGAUAUCAGGAAGAACACCCGUGGCGAAGGCGGUUCUCUGGGACGGUACUGACGCUGAGACGCGAAAGCGUGGGGAGCGAACAGG
rnacentral:rRNA from 1 species